ACCAAAAUAAAUUCAAGCUACAGUUAAAUAAUUAAUAUUGGCUUAACGAGCAGUCUCUUAGCUUUAAUUUUAGGGUAUUAACAUCCAACUUUGCUUAAGAGUUUAGGAAUUACAGCUCUUUAAAAUGUAGUCCUCUCUUUUUCAAGGGACCAAAAGUAAUUGGGCAUUUGACUCAAAACUGUUUCAUGGACUGAUGUGGGUUAUUCCUUCAUUAUUUCUUCAUCAAUUAAGC